rnacentral:rRNA from 1 species
UAUGUGAUCGUCUCUCGCAUAUCAAUAAGCGGAGGAAAAGAAACUAACAAGGAUUCCCCUAGUAACGGCGAGUGAAGCGGGAAGAGCUCAAAUUUGAAAUCUUAAAGGGUUUCCCUUUACGAAUUGUAGUUUAAAGAAGUGUUUUCUGUUGAGGUUUUGGUAAAAGUUCUUUGGAAUAGGACAUCAUAGAGGGUGAGAAUCCCGUAUUUGACCUUUACUUUCAACUUUGUGAUACACUUUCAAAGAGUCGGAUUGUUUGGGAAUGCAGUCCAAAAUGGGUGGUAAAUUUCAUCUAAAGCUAAAUAUUGGCGAGAGACCGAUAGCGAACAAGUACCGUGAGGGAAAGAUGAAAAGAACUUUGAAAAGAGAGUUAAACAGUACGUGAAAUUGUCAAAAGGGAAGCGUUUGACACCAGUGUUGUUUUUCUGAAAAUCAAUUAAAGAACUGUUUAUGCUAAGCUGUUUAGACUUUAUCAGCUAUCUGCUUAGUUUUGAGCUUUUCUUUAAUGCACUUUUCAGUUAACAAGUCAACAUCAAUUUCUUUUGCUGUAAAAAAGCUUGAGGAAGGUGGCUUGAGAUUCGUCUUAAGUGUUUAUAGCCUCUUGCCUAUGCAGUCGGAGAGAUUGAGGUUUGCAGCGUAGAUCCUUCGGGGCUAAAUGCAUUUGUGCUAAGUUAUAGCAUUUUAUAGACAACUUGUUGACUAUGAUUUGUCUUGUAGCUUACUCGCUUAUGUUAUUUUACCUACGCUUAGGAUGUUGAUCUGUAGUGCGUGCGC